CCCUUAGAUGUUCUGGGCUGCACGCGCGCUACACUGAUGCACUCAACGAGUUUACGACCUUGCCCGAUAGGGUUGGGUAAUCUUUUUAAAAUGCAUCGUGAUGGGGAUAGAUUAUUGCAAUUAUUAAUCUUCAACGAGGAAUUCCUAGUAAGCGCGAGUCAUCAGCUCGUGCUGAUUACGUCCCUGCCCUUUGUACACACCGCCCGGCGCUCCUACCGAUUGAGUGCUCAGGUGAAUAAUUCGGACUGCAGCAAUGUUUGGAUCCCGAACGUUGCAGCGGAAAGUUUAGUGAACCUUAUCACUUAGAGGAAGGAGAAGUCGUAACA
rnacentral:rRNA from 1 species